rnacentral:tRNA from 1 species
AGCGGGAUAGGGCAGCCAGGAGUGCCCGAUGGGCUCAUAACCCAUAGGUCAGAGGUUCAAAUCCUCUUCCCGCUA